rnacentral:tRNA from 1 species
AAUAUAGUGCCUGACAAAAAGGGUAGCUUUGAUAGAGCUAAUAAUGUAAAUUUAUAUACCUAUAUUA